GGAAUAUUGGACAAUGGGGGCAACCCUGAUCCAGCCAUGCCGCGUGAGUGAAGAAGGCCUUAGGGUUGUAAAACUCUUUCAACGGUGACGAUCGGGACGGUAGCCGGAGAAGAAACACCGGCGAACUCCGUGCCAGCAGCCGCGGUAAUACGGAGGGGGCUAGCGUUGUUCGGAAUCACUGGGCGUAAAGCGCGCGUAGGCGGUUUAUCAAGUUGGGCGUGAAAGCCCGGGGCUCAACCCCGGAUGUGCGCUCAAGACUGGUAGGCUUGAGUCCGGGAGAGGUGAGCGGAAUUCCCAGUGUAGAGGUGAAAUUCGUAGAUAUUGGGAAGAACACCAGAGGCGAAGGCGGCUCACUGGACCGGUACUGACGCUGAGGCGCGAAAGCGUGGGGAGCAAAC
rnacentral:rRNA from 1 species